UACGUAGGUGGCAAGCGUUGUCCGGAUUUACUGGGCGUAAAGAGCGCGCAGGCGGUCGUCCAAGUCGCGUGUGAAAGCCCCCGGCUCAACUGGGGAGGGUCACGCGAUACUGGUCGACUCGAAGGCAGGAGAGGGUAGUGGAAUUCCCGGUGUAGUGGUGAAAUGCGUAGAUAUCGGGAGGAACACCAGUGGCGAAGGCGACUUCCUGGCCUGUUCUUGACGCUGAGGCGCGAAAGCUAGGGGAGCAAACGGG
rnacentral:rRNA from 1 species